rnacentral:lncRNA from 1 species
CUCACACUUGCCAUCGCGGCAAAGAUUUAUCACCGUAAUAUUCCCAAUAUGAAUUAAAAAUAAGGUAAGUGGGUGCUGUUCUUUUGUAUUAGCAGCCUCAUUCCCCGUCAGGAACAAAAUUUCAUAGACAGAAUAUGCAAGUAGUUAUGUUUCAAAAAGCUUUAUUAUGUAUUAUUAUUGGAGUGUAAUAAAUGUUCCACUGUGUGUUGCAUGUGGAAAAUGGAAGGAUAAAUACUAGUUUUUAGUGGAAAAAUGAAAAUAAUUACAUUUGUAUGUGCAGAUAAAGAGGAAAAAAUAAAGACUUUUUUUUCAUUUAAACAAAGGGAUUUCUUCGGUAAACUCUGAAUGAUAUAUUUUAGCACAAAAUAGCUGGAAAUUUACACCCAGUAAAUUUUCCAACUUCUCAUACAAUAUAACCCAAGACAAUAGCUGUGACAAAGUUGGUGUGUGUGUAGAUUAUAUUAAUUCCAGUGAGAUCUGCGGACCCUAUAAUGGUUUAAUAAUGUGGGGCCACUAUGUAGAGACAUUUCAUCUCUCCAUUAUAGCCCUUGCUACCAAAAGCAUAAUUGAACAGUAAUUAUUGAAUGAUGCCCCUUUUGUAGCAGAAGAUAAUUAUGGUAUUAAUGGCAGCUGAGCACAAAGCCAGCCGAUCACCAGGGUACAUGCACAUGCGUGACAUCCCACAAUGCACAAACACUUGGAGGUGAAGAAAAUUAUUUAGAGGAUCUUUUUAUUUAUUUAAUUGUACAUCUGCUAGAACCAUGCAUAGAUUUCAAGAAUACCAACCCGAGGGUGAACCGGUCAUCCACACAUUUUGUUUACAUUUUAAACUGAUUUAAAGUCACCAUGGCGCGCACAUUAAAAUCGGGCCUGAGAUUAAAAUAAAUCACUAGCCCCAAAAGAACCAGUCUUAACACUUACAGAGGGUGUGUUACAGUUUUCAUCCUACACCUGACUGUAACGGAAUACUCACGGAAUAUAAUCAUAAAGUGCUCCCAUGUCAGAUGUGACAUAAAACGAACAGCACUCCACAAUCAGGUGUAGUACAACACACCCCAAUCAGGUGUAGUAAUACUACAGCACUCCACAGUCAGGUGCAACAUUAAUACCAGAAUUGCAUAUAACAUGGUCAUGUGACGCAUCAAUACCAAAACAAGUUACCCAAUAAUCUGGGGUAUAAACACUGUAAAUGUGAUGAUGUUACCAGCUGGAUAAACUUUCAUACAGGAUUGGAAGAGAUGUUGAGAUCAGGUGAAUACUGGAAUAAUGUACGGCUGAAAGCAGUGUUAUUAAUGCAAGAAGGUGUAGUAUUGAAAUACCGCCUGCAGCCUGAUUUACUAUCAGUAGUAGAAGAAGGGGUGAAAGGCAGGCAGUCUAGAGUUAGUACUGGAGGAAUAACGUGUGAUGCAGGCAGGUCUAGUAUUAGCCCUAGAGGAAUAAUGUGUGAUGCAGACAUGUCUACUGUGAGCCCUAGAGGAGUAAUGUGUGAUGCAGGCAGGUCUAGUGUUAGCCCUGAAAGAAUAACGUGUGAUGCAGGCAGGUCUAGUGUUAUUCAUGAAAGAGUAACGUGUGAUGCAGGCAGGUCUAGUGUUAUUCAUGAAAGAGUAACGUGUGAUACAGGCAGAUCUAGUGUUAGCCCUGAAAGAGUAACGUGUGAUGCAGGCAAGUCUAGUCUUAGCCCUGGAAGAAUAAUGUGUGAUGCAGGUAGGUCUAGUUUUANNNNNNNNNNNNNNNNNNNNNNNNNNNNNNNNNNNNNNNNNNNNNNNNNNNNNNNNNNNNNNNNNNNNNNNNNNNNNNNNNNNNNNNNNNNNNNNNNNNNUGUGUGAGUGCUGGAUGAUGUGUGUGGGGGGGGGGGGCCAUCAGGGCUCGAGUCCUGCAGGAACGCAUGGGAACGGCGUUCCUGCACUUUUUCCACAGCAGGAACGCCGUUCCCGUUACCUGUCCUGCAGGACCGGCCCUGCUACCUGCACAGAGGGGCCAGCACACGCUGUGUUCCCUCUCCAGCUAUAACUCCAGCGCACUCACACACUGCAUUCAUUAUACACACUCUUCACUCACUACAAACACACUACAUUCACUAUACACUCACUACAAACACACUACAUUCACUAUACACUCACUACAAACACACUACAUUCACUAUACACCCUCUGCAUUCACUAUACACACUCUGCAUUCACUAUACACACUCUGCAUUCACUAUACACAUUCUGCACUCACUACACACUACAUUCACUAUACACACUCUGCAUUCACUACAAACACACUACAUACACUGCAUUCAUUGUACACACUCUGCACUCACUACAAACACACUAAAUUCAUUAUACACAAUUUGCACUUAAAGGACCACUCUAGGCACCCAGACCACUUCAGCUUAAUGAAUUGGUCUGGGUGCCAGGUCCUUCUAGGGUUAACCCAUUUUUUCAUAAUUAUAGCAGUUUCAGAGAAACUGCUAUAAUUAUGAAUGGGUUAAGCCUUCCCCCUAAUCCUCUAGUGGCUGUCUCAUUGACAGCCACUAGAAGCGCUUGCGUGCUUCUCACUGUGAUUUUCACAGUGAGAGCACGCAAGCGUCCAUAGGAAAGCAUUGUAAAUGCUUUCCUAUGCGACGGGCUGAAUGCGCGCGCAGCUCUUGCCGCGCGUGCGCAUUCAGCCCAGGAGAAGGAACGGAGGAGGAGAGGAGGCAGAGAGCUCCCCGCCCAGCGCUGGAAAAAGGUAAGUUUUUAACCCUUUCCCCUUUCCAGAGCCGGGCGGGAGGGGGUCCCUGAGGGUGGGGGCACCCUCAGGGCACUAUAGUGCCAGGAAAACGAGUAUGUUUUCCUGGCACUAUAGUGGUCCUUUAACUACAAACACAUUACAUUCAUUAUACACACACUGCACUCACUACAAAUACACUACAAUUAUUAUUCACACUGCACUCACUACAAACACACUACAUUUAUUAUUCAUACUCUGCAUUCACUACAAACACACUACAUUCAUUAUACACACCCUGCACUGCACUAUAUGCAUAGGAGUGUAUUUUUUUAUUUAUUUAUUUUUUAAGGGGGGGGGGGGCGGGAAUCUUGGGUGAGUUCCCACACUUUUUUCCCCAGGACUUGACCCCUGAUUACACAUUUAUACUCUGUAUUACAGAUACAUUAUAUCAGCUUGGGAGAUUUACAGUUUUUUUUUUUUUAUAACAUAGGUAUUUAUCCACAUAGCUGGUACAUAGUUGCUAAGAGACACUCUACAGACUGCUUACACUUUGAACUUUUAUGAACUAUAGAUUUUUUUGGUAUCAUUUUAUAUUUUGGACACUAUACUCUCUAAGUUUCCUCUUUACAGUCCUAGGACAUUAUCCAUUAUAUUUUCUGUUUCACCCUACUCAAUAAUUAGUUCAUGUGCCCCCUUUUCGCCGGUUAGGGGUAGCACUUUUCAUGAGUAAACCAACGGUGGAUCUGCUAUCAAAACUUAUAUACCAUCAAAUACAGCUAUAAAUAUUCUCCUUUUUGCAUUUUCACUAGCUAUCACCUGGUACAUUUAGGAUUUUUAUUAAUUCUUCCUGCUUCAGCUAAUAUGGGAAUUUAACUAUACCAGUUGAGAUUAUUUAUGUAUUUGCACCACAUUUGUGUUAUUUUACACUAAUUGUAGGGGGAACUACCCCACUAAGUUUAACUCUGUAUUUACUACUUUUCCACUCUACAAGGUCAGUUUUUUACUGUCUACAUAUCAUCUUGCACAAUUUACAUUAACCCCUGUCAUUGUCUGCUUCGUAAGCUCCACUGGAUGUUGCCAUCUAGCUACCUAGUUCCAGAACCUAUGAUGCCAAGUACGAGUACGGAAACUCUCACACUUGCCAUCGCGGCAAAGAUUUAUCACCGUAAUAUUCCCAAUAUGAAUUAAAAAUAAGGUAAGUGGCUGCUGUUCUUUUGUAUUAGCAGCCUCAUUCCCCGUCAGGAACAAAAUUUCAUAGACAGAAUAUGCAAGUAGUUAUGUUUCAAAAAGCUUUAUUAUGUAUUAUUAUUGGAGUGUAAUAAAUGUUCCACUGUGUGUUGCAUGUGGAAAAUGGAAGGAUAAAUACUAGUUUUUAGUGGAAAAAUGAAAAUAAUUACAUUUG